AAUAAAAUAAGAACUGGGUUCUAAGAACGGAAAAGAGAACAUAAUCAGAACCCAUUCUCAGCAACUUCAGUUCAACCACCAUCAACAAGUGCCACCACCGCCGCUCUCCAACGCCGUCCUCCGCCGUACCGUCAAAAAUCACUUAUUUCUUUCUGCAAGAGCAAGCGAGAGACCCAACUUUUUCAGGUUCCAAAUUCCAUUUCCUCAACCACGACUUGUCGCUCCAAAGAAGUGCCGCUCACUCACUCUCAAAUGUCUUCCUUGUUUUCAUGCGGCUUCAGGUUUUCUUCUACUUCUUCUUCUUCUUCUUCAUAUAUUCCAUCUUUUCUUUUUCCCUUCUUAAUUACAAGACUAUACUCUCAAUUUCAGUUUGUUCCUAGUAAUAUUGAUGUUGAUAAUGUUGUUUCUUCAUUCAAUCACUUGCUCCGUACGAAACCCACUUCAUCCAUCAUUGAAUUUAACAAGAUUUUAGGUUCCCUUGUUAAGUCUAACAACAACCAUUACCCAACUGCUAUUUCCCUUUCUCGUCGAUUGGAAUUUCAUGGGAUUACUCCUGAUAUUUUUACUUUCAAUAUUCUCAUUAAUUGUUACUGCCACAUGGCUGAAAUGAAUUUUGCCUUUUCUAUGAUGGCCAAGAUUCUUAAAAUGGGUUAUGAACCGGAUACCAUUACCUUUAAUACGCUUAUCAAAGGUUUGUGUCUUAAUGGUAAGGUCAAGGAAGCAUUGCACUUUCAUGACCAUGUGCUUGCACUUGGAUUUCACUUGGAUCAAUUUAGCUAUGGGACCUUGAUCAAUGGCUUGUGUAAAAUAGGGGAAACAAGAACAGCCUUGCAAAUGCUGAGAAAGAUUGAUGGGAAAUUGGUCAAGAUCAAUGUGGUAAUGUAUAACACAAUCAUUGAUAGUUUGUGUAAACAUAAAUUGGUAAUUGAUGCCUAUGAGUUAUAUUCUCAAAUGAUUGCAAAAAAAAUUUCUCCCGAUGUUGUCACUUUUAGUGCUCUAAUUUAUGGAUUUUGCAUUGUUGGUCAACUGGAAGAAGCAUUUGGUUUGUUUCGUGAAAUGGUAUUGAAAAACAUCAACCCUGAUUAUUAUACUUUUAAUAUAUUGGUUGAUGCUCUUUGUAAGGAAGGAAAUUUGAAAGGGGCUAAGAAUAUGUUAGUUGUGAUGAUGAAAGAAGGUGUGAUGCCAAAUGUUGUUACCUACAGUUCAUUAAUGGAUGGAUAUUGCCUAGUUAACCAAGUUAAUAAGGCCAAACAUGUAUUAAACACUAUUUCUCAAAUGGGAGCGGCUCCUAAUGCUCAUAGCUAUUGUACUAUGAUUAAUGGAUUUUGUAAGAUUAAAAUGGUUGAUGAAGCCUUGAGUCUCUUUAAUGAUAUGCAGUUCAAAGGAAUUGCUCCUGAUAAGGUAACUUAUAAUUCUCUCAUUGAUGGUUUGUGCAAAUCAGGGAGAAUCUCCUAUGCUUGGGAGCUUGUUGAUGAAAUGCAUGAUAAUGGUCAACCAGCCAAUAUAUUCACUUACAACUGUUUAAUAGAUGCUUUAUGUAAAAACCAUCAUGUUGACCAGGCUAUUGCAUUAGUUAAGAAAAUUAAAGAUCAAGGCAUUCAACCAGAUAUGUACACGUUCAAUAUACUUAUUUAUGGAUUAUGCAAAGUAGGACGACUUAAGAAUGCACAAGAUGUUUUCCAGGAUCUUUUGAGUAAGGGUUAUAGUGUAAAUGCUUGGACGUAUAAUAUUAUGGUCAAUGGACUUUGUAAAGAGGGCUUGUUUGAUGAAGCAGAGGCCUUGUUGUCAAAAAUGGAUGACAAUGGUAUCAUUCCUGAUGCUGUAACUUAUGAAACUCUCAUCCAGGCUCUCUUUCAUAAAGAUGAGAAUGAAAAGGCGGAGAAACUUCUGCGUGAAAUGAUUGCUAGAGGUCUCCUAUGAUGGAAACACUAGAUGUUGUGUAUGCUUUGGAGGGGCUAGAAAUGGUUUUGCAUUUGGAAUCUGAGGCUAAAGAUCAAGAGAAAUUUGGUGUGAUGCCACUUUCCAAAAUUGAGGUUGCAGUAAAGCGGUGUCUUGUUUUUGAUGAGGCGUGUUGCUGCUAUUGGUUUGAUGGAAGGAUGUUGUUUGCUAUUCUCCAGUGCUACUGAUAGUAUAUGUAGCUUGGUGUUUAUGUGAUUUUGGUUUAAAUUAGGUGGCUUCAGAGCUUUGUAAUACUAGAUAAGUAUGUAGAGUUUGAUGUACAUUUUAUCCACAAGAUAUUCAUAGAAAAUGUUGUGUUAUAAUGAUUAUGUAAACGUAAUCAAGUUUAGGGAUCUUUGAUUGACAUGUUACUCUUAGAGACAACAAGAUGCUCAUAGAUUGUAAUUACUCUUGGAGGUGUCAUUUGAUAUGCUAUUGCUAGUUAGUUCAUGUUAUAGCAUUUGGAAUUUUGUCUUGUAACAUAUAUUGGAAGAAAUCUAUGCUGUUCAUGGUUA